rnacentral:rRNA from 1 species
GCAUGGGAUCGAUUUAGCCAUGCUAGUCGCACGGGCUUAGACCCGUGGCGUAUAGCUCAGUAACACGUGGCCAAACUACCCUAUGGACCAUGAUAACCUCGGGAAACUGAGGCUAAUCGUGGAUAUCGCUUUCACACUGGAACUGCCGAAUGCGAAAAACGUUCCGGCGCUUUAGGAGGUGGUUGCGGCCAAUUAGGUAAACGGGGGGGUAACGGCCCACCGGGCCAGUAAUCGGUACGGGUGGUGACAGCCAAAACCCGGAAACGGUAUCUGAAACAAAAUACCGGGCCCUACGGGGCGCAGCAGGCGCGAAACCUUUACACUGCACAACAGGGCGAUAGGGGGACUCCAAGGGCAAGGGCAUAUAGCCUUCGUUUUUCUCGACCGUAAGGUGGUCGACAAAUAAUGACUGGGCAAAACCGGUGCCAGCCGCCGCGGUAAUACCGGCAGUCCAAGUGAUGGCCGCUGUUAUUGGGCCUAAAGCGUCGGUAGCUGGCGGUGAAAUCCGAUCGGGAAAUCAACGCGUUCACCGCGUCGCCUUCCGCUGAAACUGCUCGGCUUGGGGCCGGAAGAUUCAGCGGGUACGUCCGGGGUAGGAGUGAAAUCCUGUAAUCCUGGACGGACCACCAAUGGCGAAAGCACGCUGAGAAGCCGGACCCGACAGUGAGGGACGAAAGCCAGGGUCUCGAACCGGAUUAGAUACCCGGGUAGUCCUGGCCGUAAACGAUGCUCGUUAGGUCUGCCGUGCACUACGAGUGCACGGUGAGCCGAAGUGAAGACGAUAAACGAGCCGCCUGGGAAGUACGUCCGCAAGGAUGAAACUUAAAGGAAUUGGCGGGGGAGCACCACAACCGGAGGAGCCUGCGGUUUAAUUGGACUCAACGCCGGACAUCUCACCAGUCCCGACAGCAAUAACGACGGUCAGCUUGACGAGCUUACCCGAGUUGCUGAGAGGAGGUGCAUGGCCGCCGUCAGCUCGUACCGUGAGGCAUCCUGUUAAGUCAGGUAACGAGCGAGACCCGCAUCCGUAGUUGCCAGCGAUACCCUUGUGGUAGUCGGGUACACUACGGAGACCGCCGACGCUAAGUCGGAGGAAGGAACGGGCAACGGUAGGUCAGUAUGCCCCGAAUGGACUGGGCAACACGCGGGCUACAAUGGUCGAGACAAUGGGAUGCGGCACCGAGAGGUAGAGCUAAUCCCCCAAACUCGGUCGUAGUUCGGAUUGUGGGCUGAAACUCGCCCACAUGAAGCUGGAUUCGGUAGUAAUCGCGUGUCAGAAGCGCGCGGUGAAUACGUCCCUGCUCCUUGCACACACCGCCCGUCAAAGCACCCGAGUGAGGUCCGGAUGAGGCCAUCAUGCGAUGUCAAAUUGCUGGUAAUCUGGGCUUCGCAAGGGGGCUUAAGUCGUAACAAGGUAGCCGUAGAGGAAUCUGCGGCUGGAUCACCUCCU